UAGGGAAUCUUCGGCAAUGGGGGCAACCCUGACCGAGCAACGCCGCGUGAGUGAAGAAGGUUUUCGGAUCGUAAAGCUCUGUUGUAAGUCAAGAACGAGUGUGAGAGUGGAAAGUUCACACUGUGACGGUAGCUUACCAGAAAGGGACGGCUAACUACGUGCCAGCAGCCGCGGUAAUACGUAGGUCCCGAGCGUUGUCCGGAUUUAUUGGGCGUAAAGCGAGCGCAGGCGGUUUGAUAAGUCUGAAGUUAAAGGCUGUGGCUCAACCAUAGUUCGCUUUGGAAACUGUCAAACUUGAGUGCAGAAGGGGAGAGUGGAAUUCCAUGUGUAGCGGUGAAAUGCGUAGAUAUAUGGAGGAACACCGGUGGCGAAAGCGGCUCUCUGGUCUGUAACUGACGCUGAGGCUCGAAAGCGUGGGGAGCGAACAGGAUUAGAUACCCUGGUAGUCCACGCCGUAACGAUGAGUGCUAGGUGUUGGAUCCUUUCCGGGAUUCAGUGCCGCAGCUAACGCAUUGAGCACUCCGCCUGGGGAGUACGACCGCAAGGUU
rnacentral:rRNA from 1 species